AGAGUUUGAUCAUGGCUCAGGACGAACGCUGGCGGCGUGGAUUAGGCAUGCAAGUCGAGCGACGGCCCUUCGGGGUACGGAGCGGCGAACGGGUGAGUAACACGUGAACAACCUGUCCCUACAUUCCGGAUAAUUGGCCGAAAGGCCUUGUAAUACGGGCGAGGAUCCAGAAGAGGCAUCUCUUUUGGAGGGAACACGCAAGUGGUGCGGGGAGGGGUUCGCGUCCUAUCAGGUAGUUGGCGGGGUAAUGGCCCACCAAGCCUACGACGGGUAGCUGGUCUGAGAGGAUGGUCAGCCACAUUGGAACUGAGACACUGUCCAGACUCCUACGGGAGGCUGCAGUCGAGAAUCUUGCACAAUGCACGAAAGUGUGAUGCAGCGACGCCGCGUGGAGGAAGAAGGCCCUUGGGUCGUAAACUCCUUUUGUUGGGGAAGAAUCAAUGACGGUACCCAGCGAAUAAGCCACGGCUAACUACGUGCCAGCAGCCGCGGUAAUACGUAGGUGGCAAGCGUUGUCCGGAUUUACUGGGUGUAAAGGGUGCGCAGGCGGGCCAUUAAGUAGAAAGUGAAAGGUGGGAGCUCAACUCCUACACUGCUCUCUAUACUGGUGGCCUUGAGUCUCGGAGAGGGAAGCGGAACGACACGUGUAGCGGUGAAAUGCGUUGAUAUGUGUCGGAACACCAAUGGCGAAAGCAGCUUCCUGGACGAGUACUGACGCUCAGGCACGAAAGCCAAGGUAGCAAACAGGAUUAGAUACCCCAGUAGUCC
rnacentral:rRNA from 1 species